rnacentral:rRNA from 1 species
AUUGAACGCUGGCGGCAGGCCUAACACAUGCAAGUCGAGCGGAGCGGCGGACGGGUGAGUAAUGCCUAGGAAUCUGCCUGGUAGUGGGGGAGAACGUCCGGAAACGGGCGCUAAUACCGCAUACUAUCAGAUGAGCCUAGGUCGGAUUAGGUAGUUGGUGGGGUAAAGGCCUACCAAGGCGACGAUCCGUAACUGGUAUGAGAGGAUGACCAGUCAUACUGGAACUGGAACACGGUCCAGACUCCUACGGUGGGAAGCAGUGGGGAAUAUUGGACAAGGGGGGAAAUCCUGAUCCAGCAAUGCCGCGUGUGGGAAGAAGGUCUUCGGAUUGUAAAGCACUUUAAGUUGGGAGGCGUUACCAACAGAAUAAGCACCGGCUAACUUCGUGCCAGCAGCCGCGGUAAUUC